UUUGACGAAUCUAAACGAACGAACGACGCUCCACGCCGCUGCCGCGUCGUCGUCAGCCAGUAUUAUCUACGCGUUACGUAAUUACAGAGAGCCGAAUGACGGGCAAGUGUAAACGGCGCGGCAUCACGUCGCGCACUGGAUAGCUGCGAGGGCUGCGAACGAAAUGGCCGGAUCGAACCUGAAGAUCGGUUAAUUUCGCAUAGCGGAGCAAAAAGCAACGACGCGGCGACGCGACGCGAUUCACAAUCAUGAGCACCAUGAGCUACGGCAUGACUUAUGGCAGCACGAGAAUUCACGUCCGCGCGUUCGACGACAUCGUAGAUGGAUGUAUAUAGAUAGAACAAUGCAACGUCAUCGUCUCUAAAGAAACAAAGUUGUACAAAAUGCGCGCAUGUACGUUUAAAGCACAAGUGCGAAUUUUAUCUUGAUAAAUUGAGUUUCGAUUAAAUACAUAUCUAUUCUGUUUUAA